rnacentral:rRNA from 1 species
CCUACGGGAGGCAGCAGUGAGGAAUAUUGGUCAAUGGACGAGAGUCUGAACCAGCCAAGUCGCGUGAAGGAUGACUGCCCUAUGGGUUGUAAACUUCUUUUAUAUGGGAAUAAAGUGCUCCACGUGUGGGAUUUUGUAUGUACCAUAUGAAUAAGCAUCGGCUAACUCCGUGCCAGCAGCCGCGGGAAUACGGAGGAUCCGAGCGUUAUCCGGAUUUAUUGGGUUUAAAGGGUGCGUAGGUGGAUUUUUAAGUCAGGUGGGAAAGUUUGCGGCUCAACCGUAAAAUUGCCGUUGAAACUGGCAGUCUUGAGUAGAAUAGAGGUAGGCGGAAUGCGUGGUGUAGCGGUGAAAUGCAUAGAUAUCACGCAGAACUCCGAUUGCGAAGGCAGUUCACUGGACUGCAACUGACACUGAGGCACGAAAGUGUGGGGAUCAAACAGGAUUAGAUACCCUUGUAGUC